UUACAUGUAGUAUGAAUACAAAAGAGGCCGUGAGUACAGAGUGAAAAUUUACCAUGGCUGACUGAAAAUAAAGAUGAGUCAAUAAUUCAGUAUUGUGGAUUAGUAAGUCACUAAAUAAUUUGUUAAUUCAAAUAUUCUUGAAGGGAGAUUGAAUUUGUGGUGGAUAGACCAAGUGUAAGAGUGAUCAACAAUGAACGGUUUGAGUUUAAGUGAGUUGUGCUGUUUGUUUUGUUGUCCUCCUUGUCCAACAAGAAUUGCUGCCAAACUGGCAUUCCUACCACCCGAAACUACAUAUAAUUUUCUGCCGGACGAAACGGGAUCAAAAUUCAGUUUGAAUCUUACCGAACGAGCAGAGUGGCAAUAUUCUGAACGAGAGAAAGAAAAUAUCGAGGGUUUCUAUGCACGGACUUCUCGGGGUAAUCGCAUUGCAUGUUUAUUUGUGAGGUGCAGUACAAACGCACGAUUUACAAUAUUAUUUUCACAUGGUAAUGCAGUUGAUUUGGGACAGAUGAGUAGUUUUUAUCUAGGACUUGGUUCUCGCAUCAAUUGCAACAUAUUCAGUUAUGACUACUCAGGUUAUGGAGUAAGUACAGGAAAGCCAUCAGAAAAAAAUUUAUAUGCUGACAUCGAUGCAGCAUGGCAUGCUCUUCGCACCAGGUAUGGAAUAUCGCCGGAGAACAUAAUCCUGUAUGGACAGAGUAUUGGCACCGUUCCUACAGUGGACUUAGCAUCACGCUACGAAGUGGGAGCUGUCAUUCUUCAUUCACCACUUAUGUCAGGCAUGAGAGUUGCCUUUCCCAACACCAAGAGGACUUGGUUCUUUGAUGCCUUCCCUAGUAUCGACAAGGUUCCCAAGGUGACAUCACCAGUACUGGUGAUUCAUGGUACUGAAGAUGAAGUAAUUGAUUUUUCCCAUGGCCUGGCCAUCUAUGAGCGCUGCCCUCGUGCCGUCGAACCCCUCUGGGUUGAUGGAGCAGGACACAAUGAUGUUGAACUCUACUCUCAAUAUUUGGAGCGCCUGAAGCAGUUUGUAUCUGUGGAACUGCUCAACUGACAACUACUGCCACCUGGUGAGGAGUCUGAACAUAAUGCCACAUCAACUGUCAGCUCAGCUACCACCAGCUCUGUUACUGAGAAAUUGCUCUAGCUAACCGACCCUCCAGCAAAUCAGACAGUUGCUGAAUCAACCACAAGCCUGCAGGAAGAAAAAUCAAACAGUGAACAAUCUUGCAAGAGCAGUAUCCUGAGUAGUCCUCCUGCUGCACCAGCAACUUAUGAACUGCCACGAGAAACUACCUGCUAGUCUUUUUGACUAGGCAAUUCAUCAAUUUGACUUUUGGUUUUGGAAAACAAGAAACUGCUGUUUGUCAGAAUAUUUCUCCGUUGAUAGAGAAAAUGAAAAUAUCUUAAAGAACUCUUGUUUAAUUAUUCUUACAGUACAGAUUUUUUUUGUGAUAAACUGUGAAGUGUGAGAGAAUAGUACUUGUUUUCCAAAAUGUAAAAAAUAUUUUGCUGGAGAUGAAUUCGGUCUGAUGUGUUAUGGUGGCAUUGGUGCGAGAGUAAGGUAGCUCAGACAAAGUGGAACUAGUGAAGUAGCUAACCAAAUUUCCUGUUAUAGAAUCAAUAACUGUCUGAUAUUUUAUAGGGAUUAGUUGUGUAUAAACUUAUUGUUCCAAAUUGAAGUGAUAUAUUUUAAACUCCCAUUAAUUUGGCUGUUUACAAUAAAAACUACACUUUGUUCUUGAGUUAACUUUGAGAAGUUUGAUGUCAAUAAUAAAAAGGGCCUGGCUGUAUGUGAUGGAGGUGAGACACUGCCACUACAUUAUUAAUUUCUACCUAUGAGAUGUGUAGGUUCAAGUUAAUAUAGUGAUGUGAAUGUGGCUCUACGCUGGCCUAGUAGUUUCGUUGUUUCGUACUUCUGACAUCAGUCAGGAAGUAGCCUUUACAGUUUUGUUGAAAUUUCCUUGUAGUUAAUAUAGUUUUAUAUUUUAUUUAAAAAGUGUUACCAUAUUGAUUUAAUUGCAAAUUUUCUCUUUGUAGUAAUUUUUUAGAUAUAUUUAUAAAUUGAAAUGGAUAGAUUUUGUAUGGGGAUUUCAGAUUUGUUUCUUUGUAUAGAUACUUAUAAAAAAGAGUGAAGUAA